GGGAACCGCAUAAUGUUAUUUGAGGGCAUCCUCGAAUAACCAAAGAUUUAUGUGCUGAAAGAUGGUCUCGCGUCUGAUUAGCUAGAUGGUGGGGUAACGGCCCACCAUGGCGACGAUCAGUAGCCGGUCUGAGAGGAUGAACGGCCACAUUGGGACUGAGAUACGGCCCAGACUCCUACGGGAGGCAGCAGUGGGGAAUAUUGGGCAAUGGGGGAAACCCUGACCCAGCAACGCCGCGUGAAGGAAGAAGGCCUUCGGGUUGUAAACUUCUUUUACCAGGGACGAAACAAAUGACGGUACCUGGAGAAAAAGCAACGGCUAACUACGUGCCAGCAGCCGCGGUAAUACGUAGGUUGCAAGCGUUGUCCGGAUUUACUGGGUGUAAAGGGCGUGUAGGCGGAGAUGCAAGUUGGGAGUGAAAUCCCGGGGCUCAACCCCGGAACUGCUUUCAAAACUGCAUCCCUUGAGUAUCGGAGAGGCAAGCGGAAUUCCUAGUGUAGCGGUGAAAUGCGUAGAUAUUAGGAGGAACACCAGUGGCGAAGGCGGCUUGCUGGACGACAACUGACGCUGAGGCGCGAAAGCGUGGGGAGCAAACAGGAUUAGAUACCCUGGUAGUCCACGCUGUAAACGAUGAAUACUAGGUGUGGGAGGACUGACCCCUUCCGUGCCGCAGUUAACACAAUAAGUAUUCCACCUGGGGAGUACGGCCGCAAGGCUGAAACUCAAAGGAAUUGACGGGGGCCCGCACAAGCAGUGGAUUAUGUGGUUUAAUUCGACGCAACGCGAAGAACCUUACCAGGACUUGACAUCCAACUAACGAAGUAGAGAUACAUUAGGUGCCCUUCGGGGAAAGUUGAGACAGGUGGUGCAUGGUUGUCGUCAGCUCGUGUCGUGAGAUGUUGGGUUAAGUCCCGCAACGAGCGCAACCCCUAUUGUUAGUUGCUACGCAAGAGCACUCUAGCAAGACUGCCGUUGACAAAACGGAGGAAGGCGGGGACGACGUCAAAUCAUCAUGCCCCUUAUGUCCUGGGCUACACACGUAAUACAAUGGUGGUUAACAGAGGGAAGCAAUACAGCGAUGUGGAGCAAAUCCCUAAAAGCCAUCUCAGUUCGGAUUGCAGGCUGC
rnacentral:rRNA from 1 species